ACACAGGUCCUAUUUAGGACCAACACAUACUUUUACUGAUAAUAAA
rfam:Caprimulgus carolinensis contig94710, whole genome shotgun sequence.